CCCUUAGAUGUCCUGGGCCGCACGCGCGCUACACUGAACGGAUCAGCGCGUUUUCCCUUCCCGAGAGGGACGGGUAACCUGCUGAACCCCGUUCGUGGUAGGGAUCGGGGCUUGCAAUUAUUCCCCGUGAACCAGGAAUGCCCAGUAAGUGCAAGUCAUAAGCUUGCGUUGAUUACGUCCCUGCCCUUUGUGCACACCGCCCGUCGCUACUACCGAUUGAACGUUUUAGUGAGGUACUCGGACUGAGCCUCAGAAGAUUCACGUCUUUUGUGCUGCUCGGGAAGAUUCCCAAACUUGAGCGUUUAGAGGAAGUAAAAGUCGUAACA
rnacentral:rRNA from 1 species